rnacentral:rRNA from 1 species
AAGAGUUUGAUCAUGGCUCAGAUUGAACGCUGGCGGCAGGCCUAACACAUGCAAGUCGAACGGUAACAGGAAGCAGCUUGCUGCUUUGCUGACGAGUGGCGGACGGGUGAGUAAUGUCUGGGAAACUGCCUGAUGGAGGGGGAUAACUACUGGAAACGGUAGCUAAUACCGCAUAACGUCGCAAGACCAAAGAGGGGGACCUUAGGGCCUCUUGCCAUCGGAUGUGCCCAGAUGGGAUUAGCUAGUAGGUGGGGUAAAGGCUCACCUAGGCGACGAUCCCUAGCUGGUCUGAGAGGAUGACCAGCCACACUGGAACUGAGACACGGUCCAGACUCCUACGGGAGGCAGCAGUGGGGAAUAUUGCACAAUGGGCGCAAGCCUGAUGCAGCCAUGCCGCGUGUAUGAAGAAGGCCUUCGGGUUGUAAAGUACUUUCAGCGGGGAGGAAGGGAGUAAAGUUAAUACCUUUGCUCAUUGACGUUACCCGCAGAAGAAGCACCGGCUAACUCCGUGCCAGCAGCCGCGGUAAUACGGAGGGUGCAAGCGUUAAUCGGAAUUACUGGGCGUAAAGCGCACGCAGGCGGUUUGUUAAGUCAGAUGUGAAAUCCCCGGGCUCAACCUGGGAACUGCAUCUGAUACUGGCAAGCUUGAGUCUCGUAGAGGGGGGUAGAAUUCCAGGUGUAGCGGUGAAAUGCGUAGAGAUCUGGAGGAAUACCGGUGGCGAAGGCG